AACUUGAGAGUUUGAUCCUGGCUCAGAACGAACGCUGGCGGCAUGCCUUAUACAUGCAAGUCGAACGAGAAAGUCACUUCGGUGGCGAGUAGAGUGGCGCACGGGUGAGUAACGCGUAGAUGAUCUACCCUUCAGUCUGGGACAACUCUUGGAAACGGGAGCUAAUACCGGAUAAAACCUUCGGGUUGAAAGCUUUAGUGCUGGAGGACGAGUCUGCGUACCAUUAGCUUGUUGGUGGGGUAAGAGCCUACCAAGGCGACGAUGGUUAGCGGGUCUGAGAGGACGAUCCGCCACACUGGAACUGAGACACGGUCCAGACUCCUACGGGAGGCAGCAGUAGGGAAUAUUGCGCAAUGGGGGAAACCCUGACGCAGCAAUGCCGCGUGAGUGAAGAAGGCCCUCGGGUCGUAAAGCUCUUUUAUGGGGGAAGAUGAUGACGGUACCCCAUGAAUAAGCACCGGCUAACUACGUGCCAGCAGCCGCGGUAAUACGUAGGGUGCGAGCGUUGUUCGGAAUUACUGGGCGUAAAGGGCGUGCAGGCGGAUUGGUAAGCCGGAGGUGAAAGCCCGGGGCUCAACCCCGGAGGGUCUUUCGGAACUGCCAGUCUUGAGAGGGUCAGGGGCCAGCGGAAUUCCUGGUGUAGAGGUGAAAUUCGUAGAGAUCAGGAGGAACACCGGCGGCGAAAGCGGCUGGCUGGGGCCACUCUGACGCUGAGGCGCGAAAGCGUGGGGAGCAAACAGGAUUAGAUACCCUGGUAGUCCACGCCGUA
rnacentral:rRNA from 1 species